UACGUAGGGGGCUAGCGUUGUCCGGAAUCAUUGGGCGUAAAGCGCGUGUAGGCGGCCCGGUAAGUCCGCUGUGAAAGUCCAGGGCUCAACCCUGGGAUGCCGGUGGAUACUGUCGGGCUCGAGUCCGGAAGAGGAGUGUGGAAUUCCUGGUGUAGCGGUGAAAUGCGCAGAUAUCAGGAGGAACACCGAUGGCGAAGGCAGGUCUCUGGGCCACUACUGACGCUGAGAAGCGAAAGCGUGGGGAGCGAACAGG
rnacentral:rRNA from 1 species